CAGUUCACAUGUUCCCAUGUUCAUCAUGUGACUCUUUGCAGUAACACGGUAAAAAUUGUGGCUCUUAGCCUCUUGACUGGUUGGCCACUUCUGCCCUAGGCCUUCUUCUUAUCACAUUCUUUACUUUGUUUAAAUUGAUAUUAUACAUUUUCAGGCAGAAUUGCUCAACUUUAACUCAAAAUGCAAUAAAAACUAAACUCUGUGAUUGAGGAAUAAACUUUAUUAUUAUUUAAGAUUAUUUGAGUUGCGUAACUAUCUGAGCGGUUCUUGUUUGUAUACUGUUGAAAUAAUUGAGUUUGUCCGUCAGGACACUUUAUUUUUUACGAUUUGCCUGUUAAAUGAUGUGAUUUUUGGAGACAGAUUUGAGCUCUUGCUGCAUAUUCAGGAGGUUUAUGAAGUUGUUUUUGUAUCUGUGUGUAGGCCACUGUCCCCAACGGCCAGAUGUUUAGUUAAAGGAAUAAAGCAAACGAUGAGAAAGUUUGUUGCUAACAUUCAUGUCUGAGAUGAUACGACAGGCAUCAUAAAGUGCCAGGUGAAAGAGGUGAACAGGUGUUGAUGUUGACGAGAAGAAUUUAAUUAAGUUUUGUUCACAUUUGUGCAUGCCACACCAUCAAUUAAGUGAGAGAAAAACAAACACCCUGACCUUCAACAUUGUGUACUGUCAUAGUGGUUUCAAUAGAAACGAAACACACGCAGUGGCUAGUAACAAUACACUAUUGAGUGCAGUGGUAACAUGAGACAUUUUAGUUUUUGAUCCAAGUCGAAGCUUUAAAGACACUCAUUAAUUAAGUAUUUUAGAAAUUUAUGUGAAGUUACAGGCUCAAUCACACCAUCCUGAGAUGUAACAAGAGACGGCAGCUUUGUUGGUUUAUGUCUUUGAUAACUCCUGACUGAGACACAACUUCAGCACAUAGAAAACAACAGAUAGACGUACGGUACAUUUAAAUAUUAUCAGCAUAUUUUAUUUCUCUACUGGCUGAUCAAUUUGAUAUUUUCUGCAGAUUUUCUGAGGUGAAGAGAAAGUAAAUUAUUUGUCAUUGUGACACAGCAUACAACGGAAUUUGACCUCUGUAUUUUACCCAUCGCCAAAGUGAGCCCCGGGGGGAGCAGUGUGUGGGGACGGCACCUCAGUGGUAACUUGGCAGCUGGUGGACUCGAACCUGAAAACUUCUGAAUCCAAGUCUGCUUCCUUAACCACUUUAACCAUCAAACCACUGCUGCCACCACAGUUCUCAGUGAGUUACUAAACAAGCUUCUCCACACAUUCUUACCCAGGAGUGCAGUAAUUCUCAGAAAGUAACAGCAGAGGGCAGCUUUGUUUUAUUUUCUGUCAAGUAUUGUCCCAGUUGUUGCUUCACUCCACAGCUAUGACAAGUGUCACUGUUACCAUUUUCAAACUAAUAUUGUUUUCCUGCAGUAAUUUCUUAGUCCUGCAGUAAUACUUAGAAAUGUGCGAAACCUGUCGCCUUAUGUAUAAAGUUUUCCAGUGUACGUUCAGAGUAGCCUAUUUGUAGCCGUAAGACUUAACUGCACUGUCCCGUCUCCACCGUACUCUGGUCUGUUACCAGCUUAAACAGGUUACAUUCACUUAGCUAAAAUAAUCUGUUAAAACCCUGUCAGAGAACCGUGAUGUUGUUACUUUACAGAACAUGUUUUAACUCCUCCAGAGUGUAGUGGUGACUUGCCUUUCACCACCAUAUGCUUUGUUUGGCAUAGUGAUGAAAGGCAUUGAUGCAGCUGUUUCACCAUUAAAAGCGAGGUGGUUUAUCUCACAAUGGUGAGAAUGUGUUGUUUUGUUUUUUUUAAGUCACCAGCUCUUUAAAAUGCUUAAAUAAAAAGCAAUAGUUUAGAUUAAACAAACAACUAAAUUAAUUUCAUAUAGAAAUUCUAUUCAUAUACAUUUAAUAAAAAAAAAGCACAAGUGUUGCUUUUCAGGAACAGGUGAACAAUAGCAUAAUCUACAAAGCAGUAAAAGGUAAAAGUGCCUUAUAAAAGGUUAAAAUAAAAAGGACCCAAAUGUGAGCCCUGCAGAACCCCACGCUUCAGCUGAGCAGAACGCUCCUGGCACAUAAUUAUUAACCAUUUGGGGUCAGUGUCCUUAAGCCCACACACAAAACAAGACCAGACUGGAGAUAAUUGGUGUUCACUGUAUCAAAUGCAGCCGAUCGAUUUAGAAACACAACAGCAGCAGAGUUCACACAAUCACCAGUUAGACCAAGGCAUUUAAAACUCCUGAAGGUGAAGUUUCUGUACAGUAUCACGACCUUAAUCUGACAAGAAUUUCAUGGACAUGUUUUUUUUUCUGAAUGUCGGUUUAUAAUUGAUUAUAUACAGUAUAUGCCAGAGCUUAUUUGUAACUCUAAACUCUGUUACUUUACAUACUCUACCACUUUGUGGUGAAGGUGCAAUAGAUUCUGAAUGUUUUAUGGAGUUGAUUUUUAGAAUAUUUGAGAGAAGAAAUCCUGAUCCCAACAAACUGACACUCUUUGCACAGUGGCUUCUUCUUCUUUUGUUACAAAGCCACACCCAUAUUAACUCCUUUAUUGUCUUUUAGUUCUGUGAGUCUUUUUGUCCUUCAAAGGUUGGUGACACUUGGUACUGGGUGUACAGGUAGCUUUUACUUCAUAAAAUGUGUGUGUGUGUGUAUCAUGCCUUACAUUUACACCGUUUACGGUAUACAAUUGGAAGAGCAGAAUCAAGGGCAGUUUGAAGUUCUGUCUGACUUAUUACAAUAGGUAAUAAUAAUUCUUUAACAUAUUGUUCAUAUUGGACCUCUUUUUUUGAUCGACUUGUUAGCUGUUGAGUUAGAAAAGUAAGAAAAAUAAAUAAAAAAAAUAAACUUUUCCUGAUGGUGUUGGAGUGUGCAGAACAUGAUGAUCCUCAUACUCCUGGUUCGGAGCUGAUGAGCUGUGAUCACAGUGAACUUCUGGCACUGAAGAACAGCAAAUUGGUGUGCAUGAGGGUUUGAGAGCUGUAAAAAGUUUGAAGCCUAGAGCAGUCGCUGGAACGGCACUGCUGCAGGUCACGUCACCCUGCAUUAAAUAGAGAUAAAAUCAUGUGUGUUUUCCUUCUUUGCUUACUGAGAACUUCCAGUAUUUGCAUGCAAUGGUUUGAUGGGAUCAGGCGUUUGUUGUUGUUGUUGUUGUUGUCACAGGGCCAGCAAACAAAGACUGGACAUGGUUUCUAGAGAAUAAGGACCAACAGGGGCAAUUGUUAUGGUUUGUGUCACACUGGCUGUUGAAUGUGUGUCACAUUCUUUUGCUUGUGAUGUGUUUUCUGCAGCUUUUUUUAUGUACGGUAUAUGCAGCUGUGUUGAAUGGCACACAAAACUGAUCAGCCCUGAUGUCUGUGUCCACACUUUAUGUAGGCCAUGCAAGUUAUUAAUAACCAAAGAUGACUGAAUCAUUCCUCAGCUUUGUGUUGCUUUUGAUAUAAGAGAUUCUUCAUUACUUAUGGCAAUGGUUUUCGGCACAUACUGGAUGUUAAAAUAUCUUUUAACAUUAAACAUCCUUAUUUGGCACUGAUGAAACUAUAAGACUGAUCACUCUUGUUAAAUCCUAAAAUUUCCCAACCAGAAAUUAGUCACGAAGCGCUGCUUAUUUUUAUAAUAUCUUUGAUUGUUUCACAUUGUUGUUUUUUCCCAACCAUUCACAUGUUGGUUGCAAUGUGGAUUUCAAAUUCAUGUUACAUUUCUCAAUUAACAUGAAUUUCAUUGAAAAAAAAAAA